CAGCAAGUAGUUUAUUUAAAAUUUUAAUUUUGGAGAUUAAGGAUAAGAGUUUUCUUCUUGCUGA
rnacentral:tRNA from 1 species